rnacentral:tRNA from 3 species
GUCAGUGUGGCCGAGUGGUUAAGGCGAUUGACUCGAAAUCAAUUCCAUUCGUGGGCACAGGUUCGAAUCCUGUCGCUGACG